AGAAUCAACGCUGGCGGCGUGCCUAACACAUGCAAGUCGAACGAGAAAGUGGAGCAAUCCAUGAGUAAAGUGGCGCACGGGUGAGUAACACGUGACUAACCUACCUUUUAGUGGGGGAUAACCUAGGGAAACCUGGGCUAAUACCGCAUAACACUUACGAGUCAAAGCAGCAAUGCGCUGAAAGAGGGGGUCGCGGCCGAUUAGCUAGUUGGCGGGGUAAUGGCCCACCAAGGCAGUGAUCGGUAUCCGGCCUGAGAGGGCGCACGGACACACUGGAACUGAAACACGGUCCAGACUCCUACGGGAGGCAGCAGUGGGGAAUUUGCGCAAUGGGGGAAACCCUGACGCAGCAACGCCGCGUGGAGGAUGAAGUCCCUUGGGACGUAAACUCCUUUCGAUCGGGACGAUAAUGACGGUACCGGAAGAAGAAGCCCGGCUAACUUCGCGCCAGCAGCCGC
rnacentral:rRNA from 1 species